UAGGGAAUCUUCCACAAUGGGCGAAAGCCUGAUGGAGCAACGCCGCGUGUGUGAUGAAGGCUUUAGGGUCGUAAAGCACUGUUGUAUGGGAAGAAAUGCUAGAAUAGGGAAUGAUUCUAGUUCGACGGUACCAUACCAGAAAGGGACGGCUAAAUACGUGCCAGCAGCCGCGGUAAUACGUAUGUCCCGAGCGUUAUCCGGAUUUAUUGGGCGUAAAGCGAGCGCAGACGGUUGAUUAAGUCUGAUGUGAAAGCCCGGAGCUCAACUCCGGAAUGGCAUUGGAAACUGGUUAACUUGAGUGUUGUAGAGGUAAGUGGAACUCCAUGUGUAGCGGUGGAAUGCGUAGAUAUAUGGAAGAACACCAGUGGCGAAGGCGGCUUACUGGACAACAACUGACGUUGAGGCUCGAAAGUGUGGGUAGCAAACAGGAUUAGAUACCCUGGUAGUCCACACCGUAAAUGAUGAAUACUAGGUGUUAGGAGGUUUCCGCCUCUUAGUGCCGAAGCUAACGCAUUAAGUACUCCGCCUGGGGAGUACGACCGCAAGGUUG
rnacentral:rRNA from 1 species